rnacentral:rRNA from 1 species
GACGAACGCUGGCGGCGUGCUUAACACAUGCAAGUCGAGCGGAACGGCCCUUCGUGGUGCUCGACCGGCGAACGGGUGAGUCACACGUGCCUAACCUGCCCCAGACUUUGGGAUAACCCUCGGAAACGGAGUCUAAUACCGGAUCCGACACAGCUACGCAUAGGGCCCGUGUGGAUAGUUUUUCGGCUUGGGAUGGGCUUGCGGGCUAUCAGCUCGUUGGUGGGGUGGUGGCCUACCAAGGCUGCGACGGGGAGCCGGCCUGCGAGGGCGACCGGCCAGACUGGGACUGAGAGAGGGACGAGACUCAUACGGACGGCAGCAGGGAGGAAGAUUGCACCAUGGGCGGAAGCAAGAUGGAGCGACGCCGGGUGCGGGAUGACGGACUUCGGGUUGGAAGCCAAUUUCAGCUGGGAGGAAGCGUAAGUGACGGUACCUGCAGAAGAAGCGCCGGCUAACUACGUG